CCAAUGAUGACUUCAUCCCCCCCUUCGACACUCCCUCCCUACACCACUCGGGAGAAGAGUGAUGCCCGGGAAUAGGGCCCGCGUGUGUGCACCGGCCUGCUCAUUAGCGCCAUCCUCUAGGUCUGUGAGGUUCAGCUGUUUGGUGGGAUGACAUCCUUUCUGGGAAUACUGGCACCUGUGUGGAAUUCAAUCCCCUGACUUAACAGAAGAAGCUUUUGCCUGGUGCUUAGUUGGGCUGUUUUGUGAGACGUGGCCACACCAUCAUUUAGGAGGCUUUCUGGACCUGUCCUGUAAUGGGAAGUAGUUAACAUAUCACAAAGAGCUGUAGUUGUUGCCCCUACAUUACGGUAUUAGCAGUGAAUAUAGAUCUGUAGAAAUACAUAUUUUGUAUCCACUUCUCCUGUGUUUCAGGCACCGUCUGGUCUUCAGACCUGUGGCCAAAUUGAGUUGCAUGUCUGUACUGAAUGCCGACUGCUUUUCGAUCUCAUGGCAUCUGUCUGGUAAUAUGGAAGGCAAGAUGUUGCACUUGACCCCUGCAGUAGUUUUGGAAGUGAAUCACCUCUUACUGUAGCUGGCAGUGGAUGAGGCCUCUAGCCGGACUCAUAUUAAGGAGCUCUCGAGAGAGUCGUCUGUUCAGACCACAACUGGCCGGGGCAACUCCCGCUCCUGUAAUUGCCCCUCAUUGGUGCACAUGCCCUGCUCAGGUGCGUACAGGGACACAAAUAGCCUGGAUUUGUUUUCCCAGGCUUCUAAGUAUGAAGAAGCCGCCUAUUUUUGGACUGAUGGCUUGCUCUAAACAUGAAAAGGUUGUUUCAAGGUUGAACAAGCGUAUCUCCUCUCGUCUCUUCCUCCAGAUAUCCCCAAGUGGGGUUGGCGUUUUGUUAAACUUUAAAGCCUCAAUCAUGUGAUGAAAUAUCAUUUUCAAUGGUGAUGAUGAAAUCAACAAAAUCGCAGAUGGACCCACGGAACUUAUAGUGAUUUUCUGGCGAGGUGGGUGGGGGCAUUUUAGUCAUAAUGGGGGAUGAUGUUAGGCUGAGUGUCGAUAUUCAUUCCCAUGGUUUGCCUCCUCAGUCCACUGAAACUUAACAACUUUUUUUUUUUUUUUUUUGCUGAAUGGUUGCAUUGUUUGCUCAUAAAAUCAUCUCAUGGGCAAUUUUUCAGAGUAAUGGACCCAUUCAGAUAAUGUUAUGUUUUCAGAUUUUCACACUGUAACCGCUGAGAACGGCACUGCCCACUGCAUGCUAAUGUAAACGACUGACACCACCCUUCUCAAAUUGCCAUCCGAUUUGGGCAAUUUUCAUACAGCAAUUCAUCUUGAAACUCAGGCAGGUUCCAGAAGGCGAUAACCUAAAUGUCAGUGGUAGCCUUGAGCCAAGAGGGGGUCCAAUAUUGUGAAGCGUGAAAGCUCUAAAAGAUUGAGAGACAGUGGCGGGUUUGAAUCUUGCAUGGGACACAGCUGGCCCGUCCUUUACAAAGCUCCUUUAGAGAGACUGAUGCAGAGAAUAUGUGGCUUCAUGAAACCAUCGCAUCCAUGGCAUAGAAUUGUAUGCAUGGCAAAGAGUGUCUGAGAAGAAAAGGAAUAAUUCAGUUUUUCUCCUUUUUGUACACUACAUGCCCAAAGGAGGCACUUUUCCAGCAGUCAGGCUUCACCUGCGGGCUGCAGCCUUUGACAGACCUGCGCAGGAACCCUCCAUAUGUAGCUCAGAGGACCUGGAGAAGUGGCGCUUGGUGGAGGGGAAGCUAAAGUAUCCAGCUCCUACACCGCUACGUCACACCAUCUGGUGGAGAUGGGGGCACCCCCCAAACCCGCCCCUUUUGGACACCAGCCAAAGACUUUGUCAUCAUUUACUAAACCAGAUGCCAGUCACCCGUGUGUGUUGGAGCACAGCUGGGGUAUUAGUGGCUUUUUUCCUUAGAAAAUAUUGACAGAAGUUGAGCAGGAAUAUUGGCAUCUCUGGAUGGUGAUUUUUAUAUAUAAUACACAGGCAGACAGACAGACAGACAUGACCUGCAAUAGAGGGGUCUGACGGAACUGCCUGGGAUAUGGUCUGGGCUCCCGCCCGAGGUGGGUGGGUGGAUUGAUGGAUUGAUGGAUGGAUGGAUGAAUGGAUGGAUAGAUAUGGAUCUCACUUCUUUUGUUCUGAUUUUUGCUAAUUACCUGUCAUUUCUGAGUUGCCUCGAGUAUCUUAAAAAGCCUUGCUGUUCAGAGUGUUUGCAGUAAUGCCAUUACUUUUUUACACAUGCAUCUACAUAGGCAUACACCUAUACCGUACGUUGAUGGAUUGCAAGUUCACCCUGUUUUCUUAUUUAUUAUUUUUAUUUUAAGAUCAGGGCAAUCAAUCACUCCAAACCAUUUUGUUUCACUAGCUGCAAUUACCCUUGUGUGAUGGCAGCCAUUUGUUACCGCGUUUGAAUCUGUGUCACGCCGCUUUUCCUCUAGCAGGUCAGCGGUGCUCCUCUGCCCCGCGUUCACUUCUUCCCUGUUUGGCAUUUUGCUGCAAAAAAAAAAAUAUGUAUUCCGUUGAUCUCAGAAUGGGGGCAGAUUGAAGGCGGAAAAGCACUGGGGAGAUGGCGGAACGUAUGACCUCCCAAAACCGCCUUUCUCCGUGCGCUUGCCUGAAUUUCUUCGGUGAGCGAAGCUGUCAUUUGAUGAACAUGAGAGAGUAUCAGCGAGUGGCUUCUCCUCCCACGUGUACAGGAGAAAGGCAUUUUGAAGUCCAUUCUCACGUUCAGCUGUUUGUGUGGUUCACGGCCGGCUGAUGGAGGGAUGGAGGUCAUGCCUCGCCUGCCGGGGCAUUCUGCUCUGGGGUCACGGCCCUCCUGCUGCUCUCCGGCUGCUUUUGGCACAUUUAAGAUGGACUGUGCACACCACUGGGAACGGUUUCUUACAAUGUUUGUGCAACUGGCCCUAAAAACAGCCAAUCCUGAUCUUAAUAGCAGGAUCAUCUUAAGGGAGAAGAGGCUGCCGGUUUUGGUCACCGUUCGCUGGCUAUCUCUAACGCUUCAUUCUACAGGCAGUAUCACAUUAACUAGAAAACAUGUAGUGGCGGCUUUUGUUUUCUGUCAAAUUGUCAGUCUCUCCAGCAAUUCUGCACUCUCAGAAAUGAGCGCGAAAUCAACCGACCUCUGCACUAUUUGCAAAGAGCUUGCAGCUUUUCAAAUUUACCGCAGCUUUUUCUGCAAAAACUGCCCAAAUCAACAGACUGCUUGCAUUUGGACCAUAACGUGUCUCAUGACUCCAUCGCAGUGCAAAUUCAUGUGUAUUUUUUGCUAGGCUGCGCUGCGGGGAUGAUGAGCACAGCAAAUUUCAUUUACUAAAUCACCACUAAAGACCAUGCAAAACGAUUCCUAAAAUUUUUUUGUACGAAAGUGGAGGCAAACUUUUGUAACAUUGUGGUAGAACACCUACAGCCAUAUGGAUGUAAGAAAUUGUUCAAAUUUUCCAGACAGCCUUUAAGUGUCCAUGUUAAGGUGAUGCAUUGUUUGCUUUCUGCUUAGUAUAGUAGGAGUUUUCUGUAAAAUGGAUGCAUUGUCUACAUUUUAAGUUGAGCAAUUGAUUGCAUCCUAUAUUCUGCCAUAUUCUGUUAAGUGGAGGCAUUGUAAAGAGCUGAGAUGAACAGGAUCUACGUUAAACAAACAAAGGGCACUUUGGAAAUGAAACUACAUUUUUCUGUUAACAUAUUUGAUUUUAUUUAUUUUUAUUUUGCUGCUAAUGUUGAAUUGAGUAUUUUUUUUACUAAGACUUAACUGGAACCAAAAGACAGUAUUUUCUUUAAUAAAUAUAAUUGAGCCCUUGAGUUUGGAAAAGAAAUAAAAAGAUCACAGAAACAUGAUUAUUUAUGUGAUAUAAAAAUAAACAUGCAAA